rnacentral:sRNA from 1 species
CCUGCCUUGCAGUCCCGCUGCACGAGGUUUCGGUUCGGUCCCCUGACUCCUGAACUCAUGGUUCCCCGCCUGGAACAUGUCGUGGAAGAAGAGAAAGUUGAUAUAAGUGAAGAUGGAAUGAAAGCACUAGUCACUCUUUCCAGCGGAGACAUGCGCAGGGCUCUGAACAUUUUGCAGAGCACCAAUAUGGCCUUUGGGAAGGUGACAGAGGAGACUGUCUACACCUGCACCGGGCACCCGCUCAAGUCAGACAUUGCCAACAUCCUGGACUGGAUGUUGAAUCGAGAUUUCACCACAGCCUACAGAAGUAUCCUUUCUCAUGACCUCCUGGCCACCGAGACCUGAAGGUGGCCCCAGGAGUUCAGGUUGCAGCCAGCACCCACACCUUGCUGGCAAAGGAUGACUGGCUGCAGGCGACUCUGGUCAGCUUGUUGUGGGAGUGAGAUGUCUGUAGGUGGAGUGGGUACUUGUCUUUAGCACUCCAGAGUUCUUCUUGGAGGGCUCUGACCUUCAAAUCAGGGUAAGGCUUGAAGCAGCUUCACUCACAGAUGGGAGAAAAGCUUAGGCCUUGGCAUUGAAGAUGCAGGAAUUUUCAAGUGGUCAUGAUAGUGAUAGCUCUUGUGCUGUGAAAUGAAAGGCUAGGAAUGGUGACACGAAGCCUUUUUGGAAAUGCAUUUGGGG